rnacentral:rRNA from 1 species
GCUAGGAUGAACGCUGGCGGCGUGCCUAACACAUGCAAGUCGAACGGGACUUUACCGACGGAGAUUCGUCAAAGUGGUUAAGUCUAGUGGCGGACGGGUGAGUAACGCGUGGAGAACCUGCCCUUUACCGGGGGAUAACAGAGGGAAGCUUCUGCUAAUACCGCAUAAGCGCACAGUACCGCAUGGUACAGUGUGAAAAACUCCGGUGGUAAAGGAUGGCUCCGCGUUGGAUUAGCUUGUUGGCGGGGUAACGGCCCACCAAGGCGACGAUCCAUAGCCGGCCUGAGAGGGUGAACGGCCACAUUGGGACUGAGACACGGCCCAGACUCCUACGGGAGGCAGCAGUGGGGAAUAUUGCACAAUGGGGGGAAAAACCCCCUGAUGCAGCGACGCCGCGUGAAGGAAGAAGUAUUUCGGUAUGUAAACUUCUAUCGAUGGGGAAGAAAAUGACGGUACCCAGGUAAGAAGCCCCGGCUAACUACGUGCCAGCCGCGGC